rnacentral:rRNA from 1 species
AGACGUCUACAUUAGAUACCCGCGUAGUCCAGGGUGUAAACGCUGCAGACUUGGUGUUGGAGGCCCUUUGGGGGCAUUCAGUGCCGGAGAGAAGUUGUUAAGUCUGCUACUUGGGGAGUACGUCCGCAAGGAUGAAACUUAAAGGAAUUGGCGGGGGAGCACCGCAACGGGAGGAGCGUGCGGUUUAAUUGGAUUCAACACCGUAAACUCACCAGGGAAGACUGUUACAUGAAGGCCGAGAUGAAGACUCUGCUAGAUUUUCAG